GAAUUCGAUUCAGGCCUAACACAUGCAAGUCGAACGGUAACAGGUCUUCGGAUGCUGACGAGUGGCGAACGGGUGAGUAAUACAUCGGAACGUGCCCGAUCGUGGGGGAUAACGAAGCGAAAGCUUUGCUAAUACCGCAUAAGAUCUACGGAUGAAAGCAGGGGACCGCAAGGCCUUGCGCGAACGGAGCGGCCGAUGGCAGAUUAGGUAGUUGGUGGGAUAAAAGCUUACCAAGCCGACGAUCUGUAGCUGGUCUGAGAGGACGACCAGCCACACUGGGACUGAGACACGGCCCAGACUCCUACGGGAGGCAGCAGUGGGGAAUUUUGGACAAUGGGCGAAAGCCUGAUCCAGCCAUGCCGCGUGCAGGAUGAAGGCCUUCGGGUUGUAAACUGCAUGGUACGGAACGAAAAGACUCUGGUUAAUACCUGGGGUCC
rnacentral:rRNA from 1 species